GUAAAACAGAUAAAGUUCUAAUGCAAAAGGGUAGAUAAAAGUUGGCUCUAGACAGAGCCUAACAGAGGUUUAUUUUAUAGUUAAAUCCCAAAAGGAAGGGGUAUUAUUGCCUUAUUUAUCUUCUGAUUUCUCAGUAUUAGGACUAGGCAUACAGUAGAAGCUACAUAAAUAACAGUUUGUUACAUUAGUCAACUGAUGGUAUGUGCUCCUUUAUUUAAACUACAAAAAUUAAGGACAUAAAUUUUGGGAAUAACAUUAAGUACAAGCAGCUCCCCCAAGUCCUAGCUCUGUUAAAUUAUAUUUUGUUCUGUAGUAAUACUUUUUC